rnacentral:misc_RNA from 1 species
UACGGAGGGUGCAAGCGUUAAUCGGAAUUACUGGGCGUAAAGCGCGCGUAGGUGGCUUGAUAAGCAAGAUGUUAAAGCCCAGGGCUCAACCUUGGAACGGCAUCCGGAACUGUCAGGCUAGAGUGCAGGAGAGGAAGGUAGAAUUCCCGGUGUAGCGGUGAAAUGCGUAGAGAUCGGGAGGAAUACCAGUGGCGAAGGCGGCCUUCUGGACUGAUACUGACACUGAGGUGCGAAAGCGUGGGUAGCAAACAGG